rnacentral:piRNA from 1 species
CGAAUACCAGACGUCGAACCUGC